rnacentral:rRNA from 1 species
UACGGGGGGGAGCAAGCGUUGUUCGGAUUUACUGGGCGUAAAGGGCGCGUAGGCGGUCGUGACAAGUCACUUGUGAAAUCUCCGGGCUUUAACUCGGAACGGUCAAGUGAUACUGUCGUGCUAGAGUACAGAAGGGGGCAACUGGAAUUCUCGGUGUAGCGGUGAAAAUGCGUAGAUAUCGAGAGGAACACCUGCGGCGAAGGCGGGGUUGCUGGGCUGAUACUGACGCUGAGGCGCGAAAAGCUAGGGGGAGCGAACGGGG